GAGAUUUAUAAGCGAGCUGCUAAAUCGCCCUUUCGGGCCUGAACUCCCGAACAUCUC
rnacentral:tRNA from 1 species